rnacentral:lncRNA from 1 species
AUGGUUGUUGUCACCUGGAGGUUAAAAUCCAAAAAUCAGUCUUCACAAACACAGGUGACAACAGGUGAAGAUUCAAAAACAGAAGAUGAGACUAUUCAUUACGGGGAGAUCAACUUCUCCAGCCGAAGAUCUAAACCAUCACCUGACUCACAUGAGCAGCAGCAGGACACAGUGUACGCUCAGGUCAGCGUGUCUGGGAGAGGAAACCCGUUAAGGCAGGCUGCAGAUGACCACAGAGAAACCAAAAGCACUUUGUCUCACUCUCAUCCAGCAGCUUUGCUGGACCAAAGCAGUGAAUAACACAUUCCUGAUGAUUAAAUCCACUUCAGAUUGUUUAAUGUGUGUUUCCACAAAAGUCUUACUUUAUGGGAAAAAGAGAACAAACUUUGAAGUUUUUGGAGCACAACAGGUUUCACAUUCUGGCUAAUGAAGACAAAUGGUUUGAGUCAUGUACAUUAAAGAAUGACCAUAAGAGACAUUGAUCCAGGACUUUAUUUAUCAGCCACCUGUGAUGCAGUCAGAACCGCUUCAUCAAGCUGUUCAACACCGAUUGACAUGAUUUGAUAUUAAUGACCUACAUUCUUCCCACUAGCUUGACAGAUGUGACAUGCUCAUGAAGCUCCUGUAAAUCCAGUCAUCACAUUCCUACAGUUAGGAACAAGAGAUUAUCAGUCAAGACAAGUCAAUUAUCUCUAUAUACUCUUCCUGAAAGAGCGAAACUGCCUAUCACACAUGGCAUGCAGCCCAGCAAAGCACAAAAAAACAGUAACAUUUGAUACAUGUAGCACUGAAAUGCAGCUAUUUGUAGAUGUUUGUGUUCAAUGGUAAAAUCGUAACAGUAGUUUUCAACAGUUGUUAACAAACAGUUGAUAGCAGCUUAAAUUCAAAAACACAAGGUAAUUUUUCUUUUAAAUAAAAGACCAAUGUCAAAGGAUAUUGAUGAAGAU